rnacentral:lncRNA from 1 species
UAUCCAGGAACUGGAAGUAACAGUUGAGCCUGUACUGAUUUUUGAAAUGUUGAAGACGUCGGUGUUGGAGGAGUGAAGCACUGUACGUGCCACGUGUGGAAAUGUAUGGCCUUGAAACCUUUUUGAAGUCUUUCAGAUGAAGGAAAAGAACAUGGUGUAAGGAUCAACCCCACAGCUGUCUUUGAAAAUCUGCCCUGCCUUCCUUGAGUCGCUCAGCAGGUCUGACCUUUCUGUUGAACAGAUUUCAAGAAUGGCUGCAACAGAGACAGAAAGAGGAGGAGGAAGAGGAAGAGGAGGAAGAAGAUGCGGCGCGCCCGCAGCCUUGCCUGGUUCGCCUUGGCUUGGCUUGGCUCGGCUCGGUCCCCCCCUCCCCCGCGCCGGCUUUGAUCUGGCGACAAUGUUGCCACUUCUCCCUCCUCCCUCCCACCCGCGUCCCUUUUUUCUUUUUUUUGCUACAUUUCAUUCCAAAAUUCCACUCCCUCCUUCCACAAUGCACCGCUUCUUAAAAGGGACGCGUCUAGAGGGGGGGUGGCGCCUUAAAAGGGCGACGCAGCUGGAAAGGAAGCGGUGGAAAGGUAGCGCAAAGGUGUACGCCCGGCUCCGGAGAGGUGCCACGGGACAGGGGCAAAAGGACCAAAUUAUUGGUGACAGUAUAACUUUUAACACGUUCUCUCCAUGGUCUGAAUCCCAUAACUGAUGAGUCUGGAGCAUCUCUUCCCUUGGCUACCAACAGGACAAGAGUGUGGCCCAUGGAAAUGCCGUCCUUCACCCACUGGCCAGUAACCAAUGGCUUCCAGGAGGCUGGAUCCAGCAGCUGGCUUCACUGUCCUCCCAGCACUCGGAAGACGACGGCUUGAUGAGGUGCCAGUUUCACCGCUUCCACCUCAGUCUCCGUCUGGGGCUCGGAGUGGGUGCUGAAGAUCACCUUGGCAGGAGCUGGGAUGUGGAGCUGAUUCAGGUGGAUCAGGGAGGGCUGGGACCCCAGGUUCAAGACCACCAGCGCUCCAGAGCAGGAGCUGGGGCGGAAGAAAGCAAAGAGGUCGGCAGCUUCAUCGUGGAGGGUCAGCGGAACAAAGGCUGUGCCACGUAAAGAGAACCUGUUGGCGUGCAGGGCCAGGAGGGAGCGGUACAGGUUUGCCAGAGAGGGCCGGUGGGUGCUUUCUUUCUGCAAGAAAAUAAAACUGAUUAUCCUUGCCA